GACGAACGCUGGCGGCGUGCUUAACACAUGCAAGUCGAAGAUAGUGGCGAACGGGUGAGUACUACGUGGGUAACCUGCCCUCCUUUUUGGGAUAAGCUUUGGAAACGGGGUCUACUACUGAAUAAAGGGGGAUGGGCUCGCGGCCUAUCAGCGUGUUGGUGGGGUGAGGCCCUACCAAGGCGGUGACGGGUAGCCGGCCUGAGAGGGUGAAAGGCCACAUUGGGACUGAGAUACGGCCCAGACUGCUAAGGGCGGCAGCAGUGGGGGAUAUUGCACAAUGGGCGAAAGACUGAUGCAGCGACGCCGCGUGGGGGAUGAAGGGUUUAGGGUUGUAAAACUCUUUCGCUAUCGAAGGGGUAGGUGGAGAAGAAGCGCCGGCUAACUACGUGCCAGCAGCCGCGGUAAUUC
rnacentral:rRNA from 1 species